AUUUAAGGACUGACUGCCCCCUAGGGAAGGAUCUCUGGUUGGAGGUCCUACUCUUGUGGAGUUUUCUCUGCCGGCCUAGAUGGAUAAAAAAUACAGAAGGUUCAUUAACCAAAAUCCAUACAUAAACAAAGAAAACACGUAUAUGUAGGAGACUACAAACUCAAGGGAAGAGGAAAGUGGGAAGUUAAGGCUAAGGCCGUGAUGAUGUUGUCCUCUGGAAUCUACAGUCAUCAUUUGCUUUAGUGCUUCUCCCAGCUGGAAAACCAAGGAUGAUGUUUUUCAGCACUUCAGAAUGAAGUUGUGUUUACUGUAGUGCUUUGAGUAAUAGUGAGAGCAUGUGUUGAAGGACCCUACUUGUUUAACAACAAAAUUCGGAUUUCAUUCCGUAGGUUUCACAAAUCUGGGAAACGGCACUUGAGCAUUGUUUGAAAUAGUUUAAUUAUUUGACUGCUCUGCUAUCUUGUAGAAUCCUCAAAGUGAAACAUUAAAAUGAUUCUCAAAGGGAACUACAUUUAUUUUCUUGUAAUGUCAGUCCGUCACAUAUAGCAGACCAAAACAUAAUAGGUGCUAAAUUACUUUUUUCCAUGAACUCUCAUCUCUCUUUUUCUUAUUUUAAUAUAUACAAUUGUAACUAUUUUCUUUUCCCUUUUAUGCAAAUGUCAGCCUUCCUGCCAAGAGCUGAAAAGAUUUCACAAUGGAUGCAGAAGAAAAAAGUGCCUGAAGCAAGACUUUUUUUUCCCCACUUCUCCCAUGGUUACAAAGAACUAUACAUUAUCCAGCAUAGAGAAACAACCUACUGCAUUAUAUUUAGUACCAAUUAUUCUUGAGCCUACCUGUGUGUUUUCUUCAUGUUAAUAAACUCUGUUGAGGUGUUUAUG
ensembl:lncRNA